rnacentral:rRNA from 1 species
UACAGAGGGGGCAAGCGUUGUUCGGAAUUACUGGGCGUAAAGGGCGCGUAGGCGGCCUGUUAAGUCGAACGUGAAAUCCCCGGGCUCAACCCGGGAACUGCGUCCGAUACUGGCAGGCUUGAAUCCGGGAGAGGGAUGCGGAAUUCCAGGUGUAGCGGUGAAAUGCGUAGAUAUCUGGAGGAACACCGGUGGCGAAGGCGGCAUCCUGGACCGGCAUUGACGCUGAGGAGCGAAAGCCAGGGGAGCAAACGGG